rnacentral:rRNA from 1 species
GAUGUAGGGGAGACUGGAAUUCCUGGUGUAGCGGUGAAAUGCGCAGAUAUCAGGAGGAACACCGAUGGCGAAGGCAGGUCUCUGGGCAUUAACUGACGCUGAGGAGCGAAAGCAUGGGGAGCGAACAGGAUUAGAUACCCUGGUAGUCCAUGCCGUAAACGUUGGGCACUAGGUGUGGGGGACAUUCCACGUUUUCCGCGCCGUAGCUAACGCAUUAAGUGCCCCGCCUGGGGAGUACGGCCGCAAGGCUAAAACUCAAAGGAAUUGACGGGGGCCCGCACAAGCGGCGGAGCAUGCGGAUUAAUUCGAUGCAACGCGAAGAACCUUACCAAGGCUUGACAUGGACCGGAUCGCCGCAGAAAUGUGGUUUCCCCUUUGGGGCCGGUUCACAGGUGGUGCAUGGUUGUCGUCAGCUCGUGUCGUGAGAUGUUGGGUUAAGUCCCGCAACGAGCGCAACCCUCGUUCUAUGUUGCCAGCGCGUUAUGGCGGGGACUCAUAGGAGACUGCCGGGGUCAACUCGGAGGAAGGUGGGGACGACGUCAAAUCAUCAUGCCCCUUAUGUCUUGGGCUUCACGCAUGCUACAAUGGCCGGUACAAAGGGUUGCGAUACUGUGAGGUGGAGCUAAUCCCAAAAAGCCGGUCUCAGUUCGGAUUGGGGUCUGCAACUCGACCCCAUGAAGUCGGAGUCGCUAGUAAUCGCAGAUCAGCAACGCUGCGGUGAAUACGUUCCCGGGCCUUGUACACACCGCCCGUCAAGUCACGAAAGUUGGUAACACCCGAAGCCGGUGGCCUAACCCCUU